GGAAUCUUCCACAAUGGACGCAAGUCUGAUGGAGCAACGCCGCGUGAGUGAAGAAGGUUUUCGGAUCGUAAAGCUCUGUUGUUGGUGAAGAAGGAUAGAGGUAGUAACUGGCCUUUAUUUGACGGUAAUCAACCAGAAAGUCACGGCUAACUACGUGCCAG
rnacentral:rRNA from 1 species